rnacentral:rRNA from 1 species
AAAACAAGAAACUUAAAGGAAUUGACGGGGGCCCGCACAAGCGGCGGAGCAUGCGGAUUAAUUCGAUGCAACGCGAAGAACCUUACCAAGGCUUGACAUGAACCGGACCGCUGCAGAAAUGUGGUUUCCCCUUUGGGGCUGGUUUACAGGUGGUGCAUGGUUGUCGUCAGCUCGUGUCGUGAGAUGUUGGGUUAAGUCCCGCAACGAGCGCAACCCUCGUUCUAUGUUGCCAGCACGUGAUGGUGGGGACUCAUAGGAGACUGCCGGGGUCAACUCGGAGGAAGGUGGGGACGACGUCAAAUCAUCAUGCCCCUUAUGUCUUGGGCUUCACGCAUGCUAC